ACUCAAAUGAAUUGACGGGGACCCGCACAAGCAGUGGAGCAUGUGGUUUAAUUCGAUGCAACGCGAAGAACCUUACCCAGGCUUGACAUGCAGAUGACGUUUCUAGAGAUAGGAAUUUCCUUCGGGACAUCUGCACAGGUGCUGCAUGGCUGUCGUCAGCUCGUGCCGUGAGGUGUUGGGUUAAGUCCCGCAACGAGCGCAACCCUUAUCAUUAGUUGCCAACACGUAAAGGUGGGAACUCUAGUGAGACUGCCCGGGUUAACCGGGAGGAAGGUGAGGAUGACGUCAAGUCCGCAUGGCCCUUAUGUCUGGGGCUACACACGUGCUACAAUGGUCGGUACAGAAGGCAGCAAAGCCGCGAGGUGGAGCAAAUCCCAAAAGCCGAUCCCAGUUCAGAUUGUAGUCUGCAACUCGACUACAUGAAGACGGAAUUGCUAGUAAUGGCGAGUCAGCAACAUCGCCGUGAAUACGUUCCCGGGUCUUGUACACACCGCCCGU
rnacentral:rRNA from 1 species